UACAGAGGUCUCAAGCGUUGUUCGGAUUCAUUGGGCGUAAAGGGUGCGUAGGCGGCGCGGUAAGUCGGGUGUGAAAUCUUGGAGCUUAACUCCGAAACUGCAUUCGAUACUGCCGUGCUUGAGGACUGGAGAGGAGACUGGAAAUUUACGGUGUAGCGGUGAAAUGCGUAGAUAUCGUAAGGAAGACCAGUGGCGAAGGCGGGUCUCUGGACAGUUCCUGACGCUGAGGCACAAAAGGUCAGGGGAGCAAACGGG
rnacentral:rRNA from 1 species